rnacentral:rRNA from 1 species
GGGCAGUGCGCAGGCUACACAUGCAGUCGAACGGUAGCACAGAGAGCUUGCUCUCGGGUGACGAGUGGCGGACGGGUGAGUAAUGUCUGGGAAACUGCCUGAUGGAGGGGGAUAACUACUGGAAACGGUAGCUAAUACCGCAUAACGUCGCAAGACCAAAGAGGGGGACCUUCGGGCCUCUUGCCAUCAGAUGUGCCCAGAUGGGAUUAGCUAGUAGGUGGGGUAACGGCUCACCUAGGCGACGAUCCCUAGCUGGUCUGAGAGGAUGACCAGCCACACUGGAACUGAGACACGGUCCAGACUCCUACGGGAGGCAGCAGUGGGGAAUAUUGCACAAUGGGCGCAAGCCUGAUGCAGCCAUGCCGCGUGUAUGAAGAAGGCCUUCGGGUUGUAAAGUAC